CCCCUCUUCCCCUCAUUUUUUUGUUUCAUUUCAUUAUACUAUACAUAAACAAAACCCUAAUCCUCUCAAAACCUAUACCUAGCACCACCCUCACGCUACUCUUCUUCUUCUCCGACCAAAUGACACCCUCAUGCCGGAGACAACCACCCCAAAAAGAAUCAGGUAUCAAGUAUGACCAUGUCCGUGCUCUGUUCCUAUGGCUUUUGAAUUCCUUAGAAUUGAAAAACCUAAGUCUUCAUUUUUUUUCAGCCAUCAACACACCCAAAAGGACCACCCUAAAUCGCUAGAAUCUAGAGCAAAAUGCAACGACCACUCCACCCCUUCAAAACUCAUAAAUAACCCUAACCCUUAACCCCCGAUUUCCUAAUUCACUGCCGCCGAUCUCAUUCGAGAAAGCUCAAGAGGAGGUCGCUAAGGUUUCUGCUUUUGUUUUGGUUUCGAGAUCUCACCGGAGACGUCAACUUUGAGUUUGCUGCUUGCGGUACUGUCCGAA
rnacentral:lncRNA from 1 species